UUGAUCUGUAUGCAGGGAAACUUGCACGUACAGUUCUUAGGUAGCUAGGCGCGGGCGACCGAGCCUCGC
rnacentral:ncRNA from 1 species